AUUGAACGCUGGCGGCAGGCCUAACACAUGCAAGUCGAGCGAGCGGCGGACGGGUGAGUAAUGUAUGGGGACUGCCCGAUAGAGGGGGAUAACUACUGGAAACGGUGGCUAAUACCGCAUACUGUCGGAUAACCCAUAUGGGAUUAGCUAGUAGGUAAGGUAAGGGCGUACCUAGGCGACGAUCCCUAGCUGGUCUGAGAGGAUGAUCAGCAAAGCUGAGACUGAGACACGGCCCAUGCUCCUACGGAGGCAGCAGUGGGGAAUAUUGCACAAUGGGCACAAGCCUGAAGCAGCCAGGCCGGGUGUAUGAAGAAGGCCCUAGGGUUGUAAAGUACUUUCAGUCGGGAGGGGUUACCGACAGAAAAAGCACCGGCUAACUCCGGGCCAGCGGCCGCGUAAUUC
rnacentral:rRNA from 1 species